rnacentral:rRNA from 1 species
AUUGAACGCUGGCGGCAUGCUUUACACAUGCAAGUCGAACGGUAACGCGGACUUCGGUCUGGCGACGAGUGGCGAACGGGUGAGUAAUGCAUCGGAACGUAUCCAUUUGUGGGGGAUAGCCCGGCGAAAGCCGGAUUAAUACCGCAUAAUCUCCGAGGAGGAAAGUGGGGGACCUUCGGGCCUUACGCUGAUGGAGCGGCUGAUGUCGGAUUAGCUUGUUGGUAGGGUAAAGGCCUACCAAGGCGACGAUCCGUAGCUGGUCUGAGAGGACGACCAGCCACACUGGAACUGAGACACGGUCCAG